rnacentral:lncRNA from 1 species
GUUCGUCCUGGAGGCCAAGGUAUUGUUCCUCCUGGAGGCCAAGGUAUUGUCUCAGAGAGUCAUAGAGAAUAAGAGAUAUGAAGAGGGCAGGGCAGAGGGCAAGAGGUACAAAGAAUUGGAAAGUUCAUGGUAAGGACGAAGAAGAAGGGACAGAGAGAGAGAGAGGCAGAGAGAGAGAAAGAAGCAGAGCGAGAGAGAGAGAGAGGCAGAGAGAGAGAGAGAGAGAGAGAGAGAGAGAGAGAGAGAGAGAGGCAGAGAAAGCGAAAGAGGCAGAGAGAGAGAGAGAGAGAGGCAGAGAGAGAGAGAGAAAGGCAGAGAGAGAGAGAGAAAGGCAGAGAGAGACAGAGAGAGAGACACACGCACACACUUGUGGGUUGAGAGAGAGAGUGUGAAAUUGGAAACACACACACGCAGCCAAUAAUCCGCGUUGUGCUUGCAGUGUUUUUCCAAUAACAGAGAUUAUAAACUUAGGUUCUAAUUUUUCAGAGUAAAUAACUCACGGACACUAGAGAAGCUGAACCAAGUUGAAUUCUCCCCAAAGGGUCGACACAGCUGUAUUCAGAUAAAGACAUGUUCACACCACUACAAAUAUAUAUACUCCACUUUAGACACUCCUCCUUCUCUCCAAUCCUUACAUCUUGUGGUUCUACAGGAAGAGGAUAAUAGAGUAAUGAACCAUAAUUUCUCCCUUCAGGGGAUCUGACCUGACCUCAACCCCUCCUUCGCCUAAUCCACAGAUGUCCAUCCUCUUCACCUAUAGCAAUCCUGUGACGUCCUCCCGUCCACCCAGCACAUUCCACAGCCACUCUGUCUUUCUACAGAACCAUUUACUGCUGACAUAUAAACCAGUCUCUUCCUUUAUAUACUAUGUUUGUGUAUACCAAUGAUCAGAGUUUACCCAGAAUCCAACAACACCAUACAACUAAGUCAUAUCACAGGAGCAAAGCCCUCUGAAAAACAUCAGGGUGGAUGUUUUUCUCCUUUUCCUACCCCUCUCUUCUAUCCCUGUCUCACUGGAAAGAUCUCAAUUGCAUUCUCCCACGUCCUCGCUCCUCGUCUCCUUCUCAAAACCCAUUGGAGGAGAAGGUCAGAGGGGAGGGACCUCUGGCUUUCUUAUCCAGUGGGUAUUGAAAAGGAGAUGAGGAGAAAGGACUGGAGUAUGCAACUGAGAUUUUCCUGUCACAGUUCUCUCCCUCAUCUUCUUCUGUCCCAGCGUCACUCUCCUGCCACCCACCCCUUUUCUUUCUCCCUCUUUACUAAAACUGUUCUUCUGUGUAUCAGAGAGGCUGGAUUUCAAAAAGUAAUAACCUCUAUUUGAGUUUUUAUUUUCUCCCACUGAGGCAUAGCCACGUGAAGAAGGGGUGCUGAAGGUGCUGAGGGUGCUGAGGGUGCUGAGGGUGCUGAAGGUGCUGAGGGUGCUGAGGGUGCUGAGGGUGCUGCAGCACGCCCUGAAAAAUGAGAAUAAAAAUAUAUUAAUAAAGAAAUUCUCUACUUUGGCAGAGGUAUUUGUAUAAUUUGUAUAAUUAAGAACAGUAUGUUGCAGGAUUCAAUCGUUGGAAUUGUAAGAGUUGUUGCCCUGUCAUUUUGUCU